rnacentral:rRNA from 1 species
UAGGGAAUCUUUCACAAUGGGCGCAAGCCUGAUGGAGCAACACCGCGUGAGUGAAGAAGGGCUUCGGCUCGUAAAGCUCUGUUGUUAAAGAAGAACACGUAUGAGAGUAACUGUUCAUACGUUGACGGUAUUUAACCAGAAAGUCACGGCUAACUACGUGCCAG